AAAAGCACAAUACUGAUUUUAAAGUGAAUAUAUUAUAUGUUUAUAAAGUAAACAUUUAUAUUCUACUCUGUAAUUGUUUAGUUCUAUUACUGUUUAAGUCAUUUUCUUUCUAAGCCAAGAGUUUUAUCUGAUAGCCAAGCUUGCAGAGUCAAGUAAAUGGACUUCCCCUUCUGCCAAUGAGGGAGUUACCUAACCCUCUACAGGGAAAACCGGAAAACGUUCCUGCUAUAAAACAAAAUGAAAAGAAUAUGAAGCCUUUUGAUGGGUUGAGUAAUUCCAGGACAUUCCAUUUGAACAAAAUGGUGAUAAACAUUUGCAAAUGGAUUAAGAGAGCACCAGCUAGAAAUCACACAAUUAUGCAGAUUUAAAAAGG
rnacentral:lncRNA from 1 species